CUCAGAUAUGACGAUGGACAUUGCAAAGAGUGGCGAACGGGUGAGUAACACGUGGGAAACCUACCUCUUAGCAGGGGAUAACAUUUGGAAACAGAUGCUAAUACCGUAUAACAAUAGCAACCGCAUGGUUGCUACUUAAAAGAUGGUUCUGCUAUCACUAAGAGAUGGUCCCGCGGUGCAUUAGUUAGUUGGUGAGGUAAUGGCUCACCAAGACGAUGAUGCAUAGCCGAGUUGAGAGACUGAUCGGCCACAAUGGGACUGAGACACGGCCCAUACUCCUACGGGAGGCAGCAGUAGGGAAUCUUCCACAAUGGGCGAAAGCCUGAUGGAGCAACGCCGCGUGUGUGAUGAAGGGUUUCGGCUCGUAAAACACUGUUGUAAGAGAAGAAUGACAUUGAGAGUAACUGUUCAAUGUGUGACGGUAUCUUACCAGAAAGGAACGGCUAAAUACGUGCCAGCAGCCGCGGUAAU
rnacentral:rRNA from 1 species